rnacentral:rRNA from 1 species
GACGUAGGGCGCGAGCGUUGUCCGGAAUCAUUGGGCGUAAAGCGCGUGUAGGCGGCUCGAUAAGUCCGUUCUGAAAGUCCAGGGCUCAACCCUGGGAUGCGGAUGGAUACUGUCGAGCUCGAGUCCGGAAGAGGCGAGUGGAAUUCCUGGUGUAGCGGUGAAAUGCGCAGAUAUCAGGAGGAACACCAAUGGCGAAGGCAGAUCUCUGGGCCGUAACUGACGCUGAGGAGCGAAAGCAUGGGGAGCGAACAGG